rnacentral:rRNA from 1 species
UACUGCUAUCGGGGUCCGACUAAGCCAUGCGAGUUGAAUGUCCGAAAGGGCAUAGCGCACUGCUCAGUAACACGUGGACAACCUGCCCUGAGGACUGGAAUAAUCCCGGGAAACUGGGGGUAAUUCCAGAUAUGUCAGAACUCCUGGAAUGGGUUCUGGCAGAAAGGCUCCGGCGCCUCAGGAUGGGUCUGCGGCCUAUCAGGGUAGUAGUGGGUGUAACGUACCUACUAGCCUACGACGGGUACGGGUUGUGAGAGCAAGAGCCCGGAGAUGGAUUCUGAGACAUGAAUCCAGGCCCUACGGGGUGCAGCAGGCGCGAAAACUUUACAAUGCGGGCAACCGCGAUAAGGGGACCUCGAGUGCUGGGUUACAAACCUGGCUGUUGGGCUGCCUAAAAAGCAGUCUAUAGCAAGGGCCGGGCAAGACCGGUGCCAGCCGCCGCGGUAACACCGGCGGCUCGAGUGGUAACCGCUAUUA